AACGCACGAGACCUGCGGACCUGCGGAGGGAUCAUUAAUGAGAAGCUGCCCCUCGUGGGUAGACCUCCCACCCUCUGUGAACUUACCUUUGCUGCUUUGGCAGGCCCGUCCUCUGGACCGCCGGCUUCGGCUGGCCCGUGCCUGCCAGAGGAUUCCAAACCCUGUCUGUCAGUGUUGUCUGAGUCUAUAUGAAAUCGUUAAAACUUUUAACAACGGAUCUCUAGAUCGGAAGAGCACACG
rnacentral:misc_RNA from 1 species